AUCUGGGCGGCGAAAUUCAGGAUGGCUGGGCUGGCCUCGCGCUGGUUCGGCCGUUUGAUGUUUUCGUCGCCACUCGCAGACGUCGCGACCUGUUCGUCGUCGGUCCCUGCUCGGAGGAAUCGCUGUCGAGUUCGUUGUGGGCGCGUUUCGGCGCGUUUCACGGCGAAGACGCGGAUCUCUGGCUGACGACGGACAGUAAGCAACGGUGGCCGGCGUCGUGUCUCGCACGCGACGUCGGUGCCGGUCAGCGACGAUUUCUUCGGGCCUCUUUCCGACCCGUCUUGAAACACGGACCAAGGAGUCUAACAUGCGCGCGAGUCGCGGGGUAUCGAGCGUACCACGGUGCGCUCGUUACGUCACGAAACCCGUAAUGUUGAAGGCGUAAUGAAAGUGAAUGGGGAAGAUGGCGUUCCGAGUACACGUUCCGUGGUCUAGUAUCGCGGCCGGACGCCCGCAUUCCCGGGGCGUCUCAACGGCUCGUCGCGAAUGCGGACGGUCGCCUUUCGGGGUGGCCGUCGGUUUGCGACGGACCGA
rnacentral:rRNA from 1 species